UCAGAUGUGAGAACUCAGCAGCGCUUGGUACUGGUUGGAUCAUGGGCAGCUUUUCUCUCUGGCU
ensembl:miRNA